rnacentral:rRNA from 1 species
UGCUAAUACGGCGAGUGACCGGGAAGAGCUCAAAUUUGAAAUCUGGCGUCCUUCGGGCGUCCGAUUUGUAAUCUAUAGAAACGUUUUCCGUGCCGGACCGUGUCCAAGUCCCUUGGAACAGGGUAUCAAAGAGGGUGACAAUCCCGUACUUGACACGACGACCGGUGCUCUGUGAUACGUUCUCUACGAGUCGAGUUGUUUGGGAAUGCAGCUCAAAAUGGGUGGUAAACUCCAUCUAAAGCUAAAUAUUGGUGGGAGACCGAUAGCGAACAAGUACCGUGAGGGAAAGAUGAAAAGCACUUUGGAAAGAGAGUUAAACAGUAUGUGAAAUUGUUGAAAGGGAAACGAUUGAAGUCAGUCGUGACCGUUGGGUUCAGCCGGUUCUGCCGGUCUACUCCCUUCGGUCGGGUCAACAUCGGUUUUGACCGGCGGAUAAGGAAGGGAGGAAUGUGGCACCCUCCGGGGUGUGUUAUAGCCUCCCGUCGCAUACGCCGGUCGAGACCGAGGAACGCAGCUCGCCUUUAUGGGCGGGGUUCGCCCACGUCCGAGCUUAGGAUGUUGACAAAAAUGGCUUUAAACGACCCGUCUUAA